GCAUUGGCCUGCAGUAACCAUUGGGAAAUUAUUUCAAGUGGGAAGGGUUAAAGAUUUAAGACCUUUAUUGGAACUUCUAACUUUAACAAAAAACCUUAAAGUAUUAAACGAGACAUGUUUUAAAUAUGAAGUGCUUUUAUUAAUGUAAUAUGACAUUAAGAAUGAAUCAUAGCACAAGUUUCUUUAAUAAUCAUAACAUUUCAAACAAACAGCACAUUUUAUUCAAUGCAUUUCCAAUACUGGGGCCCCAUUAAAGUUCAAGUUUCUUUCAGUGUCAAAUAACAUUUACAACAAAGUAAUAAACAUGAGUAUAUAUAAUAUGUACAAUGCACAAGUGUCUCCUCAGUGUUCUGCACAGUGUUCAGUUCAUUGCCAACAUUCUCUCCUGCCAGUCCACUGAUCCUGCUGGGGAGUUGCUGCAAUGCUUGAGUAGAUUUCGCUGCCUCUUCCUAUCACGUGAGGCUGUGUUGGGGCCUUGCACAACGAUAGUGUCCUCCAAGUUCCGUCCUCUCUGUGCCCCAGGCUGCAGGUUCCCAUCUGGUUGUGAACAGUCCACAAGUGUAUUCUGGAGCACUGGGUAGCGAGUGCACAUCAGGUUGUGGAGGAUGCAGCAAGCUUCCACAAUGAUUCUGACAGUUUCAUGGUGGUGAGCAGGAUCUGGAACCUGUUGGCCAGGAUGCCGAAGGCAUUCUCCACGACCCGUCUUGCCCUAGACAGCCGGUAGUUGAAGAUGUGCUCUUCAUGGGUGAGAUUUCUGGUGCUGUACAGCUUCAUGAGGAACGCUCCAGCAAAGUUCGAGCGGUGUGACCGGGCCUUUAGCAAUUAUACAGGAGAUAAGUGAGGAUGAAUCGGAUGGCGGAGACAUGUUGGACAUCAGCGAUCUUGACUGGAGUGAAGAGGAGGAAAGCUCUGAAUCAGAGUCAGAACAGCCACGGGCCAAACAGCGAAAAAAAUGUAAUCCUGCUGCCCCAAAAAUGCCCAAUCGAUCUCCAGCUGUUGUCCAGUCCAGCGCAGAACCUGCAGUUGCGCAUGGAAGCGCUCACGCGUCACCUCCAGUGAACAGCAGGAGCACUGGCCCAGCGUCUCCAGAGGUGCCAAUUACAAAUUCAGAGCCUGCAAUCCCAGAAACA